ACGGCUCAGUAACACGUGGCUAACCUACCCUUAGGACGUGGACAACCCCGGGAAACUGGGGCUAACAUCUGAUAGGUGAGGAGGCCUGGAAUGGUUCCUCCCUGAAAAGGCGUUGAAACCAUGCUUUUCAGCGUCGCCUAAGGAUGGGGCCGCGCCCGAUCAGGUUGUUGGUGGGGUAACGGCUCACCAAGCCAUUAACCGGUACGGGCCGUGAGAGCGGGAGCCCGGAGAUGGGCACUGAGACAAGGGCCCAGGCCCUACGGGGCGCAGCAGUCGCGAAAACUCCGCAAUGCGCGAAAGCGUGACGGGGCUACCCCGAGUGCCGUCCGCUGAGGAUGGCUUUUCCCCGGUGUAAUGAGCCGGGGGAAUAAGGAGAGGGCAAGACUGGUGUCAGCCGCCGCGGUAAUACCAGCUCUCCGAGUGGUAGGGACAAUUAUUGGGCUUAAAGCGUCCGUAGCCGGCUUGGCAAGUCUCCUGUUAAAUUCAGCGACUUAAUCGUUGAGCCGCGGGAGAUACUACUAGGCUAGGAGGCGGGAGAGGCCGACGGUAUUCCCGGGGUAGGGGUGAAAUCCUAUAAUCCCGGGAGGACCACCAGUGGCGAAGGCUGUCGGCUAGAACGCGCUCGACGGUGAGGGACGAAAGCUGGGGGAGCGAACCGGAUUAGAUACCCGGGUAGUCCCAGCCGUAAACGAUGCGGGCUAGGUGUUGAGGUGGCUACGAGCCACUUCAGUGCCGCAGGGAAGCCAUUAAGCCCGCCGCCUGGGGAGUACGGCCGCAAGGCUGAAACUUAAAGGAAUUGGCGGGGGAG
rnacentral:rRNA from 1 species